rnacentral:rRNA from 1 species
CCCUUAGAUGUUCUGGGCCGCACGCGCGCUACACUGACGAAGUCAGCGAGCAUGUCCUACGCCGACAGGUGCGGGGAAUCUUGUCAAACUUCGUCGUGAUGGGGAUUGAUUAUUGAAAUUCUUGAUCAUCAACGAGGAAUUCCUAGUAAGCGCAAGUCAGCAGCUUGCGUUGAUUACGUCCCUGCCCUUUGUACACACCGCCCGUCGCUACUACCGAUUGAAUGGUUUAGUGAGAUCUUCGGAUUGGCGCCACUGCGGCUCAGCAAUGGGCUCGGUGGAUGCCGAAAAGUUGAUCAAACUUGAUCGUUUAGAGGAAGUAAAAGUCGUAACA